GUCUACGGCCAUACAUAGGCGAAAAACAUCAGUUCCCGUCCGAUCACUGCAAUUAAGAGUCUGAGGGCUUAAUCUCGUUUGUGCUAUGGUUAGAGAGGUGCUGUAGGCU
rnacentral:rRNA from 1 species